UACGUAGGGGGCAAGCGUUGUUCGGAAUGACUGGGCGUAAAGGGUGCGUAGGCGGUAGUACAAGUUAGAAGUGAAAUACCUAGGGCUUAACCCAGGUGCUGCUUCUAAAACUGAUAGACUUGAGUGCAGUAGAGGAAAGUGGAAUUCCUAGUGUAGCGGUGGAAUGCGUAGAUAUUAGGAGGAACAUCAGUGGCGAAGGCGACUUUCUGGACUGUAACUGACGCUGAGGCUCGAAAGCGUGGGGAGCAAACAGG
rnacentral:rRNA from 1 species